rnacentral:tRNA from 1 species
GGUCCCAUCGUGUAAUGGUUAGCACUAUGGACUCAGAAUCCAGCGAUCUAAGUUCAAAUCUUGGUGGGACCU